rnacentral:rRNA from 1 species
CACGUAGGGCGCAAGCGUUGUCCGGAAUUAUUGGGCGUAAAGAGCUCGUAGGCGGUCUGUUGCGUCCGCUGUGAAAACUCGGGGCUUAACCCCGAGCCUGCAGUGGAUACGGGCAGACUAGAGGUAGGUAGGGGAGAAUGGAAUUCCCGGUGUAGCGGUGAAAUGCGCAGAUAUCGGGAGGAACACCGGUGGCGAAGGCGGUUCUCUGGGCCUUACCUGACGCUGGGGAGCGAAAGCGUGGGGAGCGAACAGG